rnacentral:rRNA from 1 species
AUUGAACGCUGGCGGCAGGCUUAACACAUGCAAGUCGAACGAGUGGCGGACGGGUGAGUAAUGCUUGGGAAUAUAGCUUAUGGAGGGGGCUAACUACGGGAAACUGUAGCUAAUACCGCGUACCAUAGGAUGAGCCAAAGUGGGAUUAGGUAGUUGGUGAGGUAAAGGAUCACUAAGCAGACGAUCUCUAGCUGGUCUGAGAGGAUGACCAGCCAAACUGGGACGGAGCAGCGGCCCAAACUCCUACGUGAGGCAGCAGUGUUGAAUAUUGCACAAAGGGCGCAAGCCUGAUGCAGCCAUGCCGCGUGUAUGAAGAAGGCCUUAGGGUUGUAAAGGACUUUCAGCGGGGAGGCGUUACCCGCAGAAGAAGCACCGGCUAACUCCGUGCCAGCUGCCGCGGUAAUAC